rnacentral:lncRNA from 1 species
UUUCUAAUUCUGGUUAUGGUAGCCGGGGGCCGGCUAACAACAGAUUGGGACACAGUCGAAAGCAGACCGUUUGCUACUACUGUAAUAAACCUGGGCACAUGGUAAAGGACUGCAGGCAGCUUAAAGCGCUCAAGCAGUCGUCAAUUUCUGGAAAUAAGGGUGGCUACAACAACAGUGGCAGCGGAGCUAGCAGCAGCAAGCCAGGAUCCGGUGGAUGAGCUAGGGGGCCAGGUGUUCCACGGCAGGUAGCGUUCGUGGCAUACAACAACGGCAGGCGGCUGGCAGAAGUUAAGGCCUGGCUUCUGCUCCCGUCGCGUCCCGGCGCGUCCGGGUUCAAAUCCGCCUGCCGACCUCUCGGGGUGUUUGAGAGGUGAUGAAAUGGGAGGUGGCCCCCCAUCUUGUGGACGGUGUAGGACGUGAUAAAAUCAACUCGCGAGCUGACCAGGAACUAAGUUGACGCGCCGUUGAUCCGCUAGAUUUGGUUGGAUGCUGGUGGUGAGUUGCCAAACUCAAAGAGUACACUCUGCAGUCGGAUGGGGUGAAUGGCUUAGGGUGCCCCUCUAGCAGGGGAGAGCAGGGAACUGCCUCGGGAAGGAGGCCACUGGUGAAGCUUAACCACCCUGUAACAACAUCAACAACGAGCGUCCGACGGAAUGGUUUCUGGACUCCGCAUCUACUCACCAUGUCACUUAUGACCGAUCCGAACAACUCAAUGUGCGUGUGUUGGAGCCUUGGGAACGCUUCAGCAUUGUGGGCAUUAAGGGUCAGUCACUGCGUCCGACAAAGGUUGGAUCACUUACCAUUCGAUCUAAUGUCAACGACAAUCAAUCCAUCACAUUCAAAAGGGUCUACGUUGACGAGGAGGCGAUGGUAAAGAUUUUGUCCGUCCGUAUCAUCGACGAUCGCGGAGGUAGCGUCGUCUUCGGUGACGGUCAAGUAAAGGUAUACUUGCAAAAUCAUUUAGUGUUGACCGGUGAAUGGGACGGUGAUCUCUACCCCAUUUGCGAUCUCUACCCCAUUUGCUAUCGAGGUGGAAGUACAGGCACCAUCAGGAGGACGCAGAAUACGAGCUACAGUGACAACGGACAUGGCACAACGUGCACCGCCGUGG